rnacentral:rRNA from 1 species
GUGGGGAAUUUUGGACAAUGGGGGCAACCCUGAUCCAGCCAUGCCGCGUGCGGGAAGAAGGCCUUCGGGUUGUAAACCGCUUUUGUCAGGGAAGAAAUCCUUUGGGUUAAUACCUCGGAGGGAUGACGGUACCUGAAGAAUAAGCACCGGCUAACUACGUGCCAGCAGCCGCGGUAAUACGUAGGGUGCGAGCGUUAAUCGGAAUUACUGGGCGUAAAGUGUGCGCAGGCGGUUUUGUAAGAUCGAUGUGAAAUCCCCGGGCUCAACCUGGGAACUGCAUUGGUGACUGCAAGGCUGGAGUGCGGCAGAGGGGGAUGGAAUUCCGCGUGUAGCAGUGAAAUGCGUAGAUAUGCGGAGGAACACCGAUGGCGAAGGCAAUCCCCUGGGCCUGCACUGACGCUCAUGCACGAAAGCGUGGGGAGCAAACAGGAUUAGAUACCCGAGUAGUCC